AUUGAACGCUGGCGGCAUGCUUUACACAUGCAAGUCGAACGGUAACAGGCCGCAAGGUGCUGACGAGUGGCGAACGGGUGAGUAAUGCAUCGGAACGUGCCCAGUCGUAGGGGAUAGCGCAGCGAAAGCUGUGCUAAUACCGCAUACGAUCUAUGGAUGAAAGCGGGGGACCGUAAGGCCUCGCGCGAUUGGAGCGGCCGAUGUCAGAUUAGCUAGUUGGUGGGGUAAAGGCCCACCAAGGCGACGAUCUGUAGCUGGUCUGAGAGGACGACCAGCCACACUGGGACUGAGACACGGCCCAGACUCCUACGGGAGGCAGCAGUGGGGAAUUUUGGACAAUGGGCGCAAGCCUGAUCCAGCAAUGCCGCGUGCAGGAAGAAGGCCUUCGGGUUGUAAACUGCUUUUGUACGGAACGAAACGGUCUGGGUUAAUACCCUGGGCUAAUGACGGUACCGUAAGAAUAAGCACCGGCUAACUACGUGCCAGCCGCCGCAGUAACAC
rnacentral:rRNA from 1 species